rnacentral:rRNA from 1 species
AGUGAACGCUGGCGGCAGGCCUAAUACAUGCAAGUCGAACGGCAGCACAGUGGAGCUUGCUCCAUGGGUGGCGAGUGGCGGACGGGUGAGGAAUACAUGGGAAUCUGCCCAGUCGUGGGGGAUAACGUAUGGAAACGUACGCUAAUACCGCAUGCGCCCUUCGGGGGAAAGUCGGGGAACCGCAAGGCCUGACGCGAUUGGAUGAGCCCAUGUUCGAUUAGCUAGUUGCGGGUAACGGCCCACCAAGGCGACGAUCGAUAGCUGGUCUGAGAGGGAUGAUCAGCCACACUGGAACUGAGACACGGUCCAGACUCCUACGGGAGGCAGCAGUAGGGAAUAUU